CUGUUACUUCCUGCAGAUUAAUUAAAGUACACUUGCGUUUGAGCUCUUGUGAUGUAUAGAGAUAAAUUGUUGAUAUUCUAUUUCCUACUUUCCCAGUUAAAUACCAAGCGAAGCCCCUCGUAAUACCAAGAGUGAAGAACCAUUCUUAGCUGCUUUAGAGAGAAGUGAUGGAACCAGCGAGGAGGCUCCUACUGUGAAGCCGUAAAAAUUUUACUAUUUAGCUAUGAACAAGCAUGGCACAGAUCUGAUCUGAUCGCCUCACUCACUCUCUAGCUCACCGCGCACACAGAGCUUGCAUAGCAUUUGAUCUCCCCGGUCUUCUCGGAAAUGGAGGAAGUGGACGAAACCGAAGCCGAUCCUCAGGAACAUAUGCCUCGGCUCGCCUUCUUCUCCCUCGGGAGGAAAUGGAAUCCUAUAUAAAUUGCAUGCGACUUCAAGAUCAUUAUGUCUGCUAGAUGAAUUCGGGAAAGGCACUCUAAAUGAAGAUGGAGUUGGCCUGCUUGGUGGAGCGAUAAAUUACUUUGUCAUGCGCGAUCAACCCCCAAAGGUUUUGGUAUGCACUCACCUGACUGAAUUACUUGAUGAGAGCUAUUUGCUGAAGGUAUGAGACACCUUUCACUCAUCUGCAGCUGCUGUUUCCUCUUUGGGAGGUCACAUAUCAAUUUUUCAUGACAAUGUCAGUCGGAGAAGAUCAAGUUCUACACCAUGAGUGUGCUAAGGCCUGAAGAUGCUUCAGCAGAUAUUGAGGACAUUGUAUUUCUUUACCAGUAUAACUUACCUCUGUUCUUGAUCGCAUGAAGUAGCAAUCAGAAGUUUUUAGUUUCACCAUUCAGAUAGAGAUAAUUGAGCUUCUGACGUUGAAGGAUCCUCCUUUGACAAGCUUGCCAUUCUUUGUUCAGACUAGUUCCUGGAUAUAUGCUUCUGAGCUAUGGUAAGCACAAAUAUGUAUGCUUAGUGUUGAGAUGCAUUUCAUAAUGCUUUAUUAGGGAACUCGUAUCUAAGUUAUACUUUCUCCAGGUCUCCAUUGUGCACUCCUCGCUGGUAUACUUCUAAACUCUCUUAAGCUGUGAAAAUGAGCAAUUUGUCGCUUAAAAUGAGAAAUAUUUGUGCCAUGCCUUGUCCAGAAAUUUUAACAAGAGGAUUACUUAGGUGUUCGGAGAAGAUAAUGAUCUGCAGAAUUUGCUAAUGAAGCCGUGUUGUUUUUCAAAUGUCAUGAGAUGGUGCUUUCAUCAAAAGAGUUCUUUCUAGUAGAAAUAUUUCGGGCAAACUAUCAGCCAUGCUUUAUUAAAAUAUGGAACUAAAGCGCAUCGUGUAUAUGGUUUAAAAUGUCAUGAAUGUGCUCUUUGAGCGUACAGUUUGGAAAAGAUGGAAUUUCUCAGUAAGGCUUCUUUACUUUAUAAAAGAUGGUGCAAAUAAGAUGGAAUAUGAAGUGACUUUGUAUUCAUUUCAUUUUUGGCAUUUGUAGAGUAUUCGGUUUCUAAGCUUGCUCCUAGACUUGUAUAUUCCUGGCUGCCACGCAUUUUGUUUUUGCAUCUCUUCCGGAUCAGUGGUUUCCUCGAAAAGUUAAUUUCAUGCUUUGCUUAUGCAGGUGUUCUGAAGGAAGUGAUUGACAGAGCUGCAUCAAUUCUAGGUAGCCCUGGGAACAAUCAGACCAUUGAUCGAAUGCACUAUGAGAGAGUAUUGGCUCAAGAUCAGCAAUACAAGAAUGCAUUGGAGAAGAUGCUGGCAUUCGAUAAAAUUCAUGGUGAUCUCAGAAGCUUCUUUGAGGAAAUAUUACCAUUGUAAUAUCUGAGGCAUGAAGUAAUUCUUUUCUUUGGCAACAGCAUACGUUCUGCUGUCGAGAUUCGUAUGUGUAUUUGUCGAGGAUUAGACUAGUGGACUAGUGGCAGCCGCUUCCAGUGGUGGUUAGAUACUUUCUUUUAUUCUUCCUCUUAGAAGAAAAUAAGGAAGCUUUUCCUUUUCUGGGAAGUUGGGAAGUACGGCAUUUAAUUAAAACAUGAUUUUAAUCUUUCUUAGACAUGUAAACCAUCAAAUUUUUGUGUACAGUAUAUAACACAUGUAAAAGGGCAAAGGCAAAAGGAAAAGGGCAACUCUAUAUUUGACUUGAAAAUAUUUAUUGAUUACAGCUUGGCCAU